AUGUAUUGCAGUUUACUGUUCCAAGCUGGCCUUUCGUCAUCAGCUUCAGAUCCAUCUUCAGCAUCUGUAUCUUUCUCUUCUUGAACAUCCACGAUUAGUUCACUCUUCUUAAAAGCAUCUUCAGGAAAGUCGGCUAAAUCCAACUGAAGCCCCCAAAAGAAAGGAUAAUACAGACUGGCAUUGCAAAGUAGGACUACUAAAGACAGCUUACUACUACUACCACUACUACUACUACUACUACUACUACUACUACUACUACUACUACAGACUGGCACUGCAACAUGGGACUACUACAAAUGGCUACUACAGAAGAUCAAAAAUAAAAAAGCAAGGAACAUGAAAAAAUUCUGAUGCAUGAGAAAACUUCCAUGAUCAGCAUUCUACUCAGACAUCACAGUCAGUGAGACUCAGGGGACCACUCGGUGGAUUAAUCUCAAAAGGUAGUAAGUAACAUGGUCAUCAAGGCUAAAGCAUUUCUCUCUUUCCUGUAUCAAAUGAUAAUGUUCAUUUAAAAUUAUGCUGAAUUCCUAUCGUUAGGGUGGGUAAUUCUCAGAGAAAGUGAUAAUGACUGACAUUUUAGCAUAAGAAGUUCAUGAAGAAUUACUAAAUACCAGCAAAAGAUUAAUGUUGUUAAUAAACCAAGAAUAAGUCAAAAGAUUCUGGCCAUGGAAAACUGGAUAUCUUCCAUGCAUUGCACUAUGCCUAUGGAUUUUUAAAAUAAUGCCAUCUGCUCAAAAAUCGCUGCAAAGUCAAGUCUGCAUAUUAAUAUACUAUUAUAUCCAAUCAUGAAUAUGUAGUGGUAAAGAAUUAACAUAAUAUUCAACAAAAAGUUGGAUGAUAAAUGAAGAAGAAAAAAACUGGAGAUUGUAAUAACCACAGGGGGGAGGGAUGUCUCUUUUACUUUUGCCAUUCUAAGGGGAUGUUUUUAAACUGUCUGCUUAUAACACCAGAGUUUAAAGAAACAUUGAAGUAUCUCCUAUUCUGUACAUUUUAAAGACAGAAACAUCUUUUGUCAUGCACAUGUUAAGACUGGAUGUUCCAGUAAUUUAUAGAUGGCCUCCUGCCUAUCUCCAGAAAGCUAGAUCACCUAAUUUUAAAACUCCCUAUUUAUUUUUAAUUAGAUGACAAAACACCUGUCUUCCAGAAACAUGUAUAAAAAACCUUUUAAACUGCAUUAAAAGCCACAACUUGGGUUGUA